rnacentral:misc_RNA from 1 species
UCUCCGUAGGUGAACCUGCGGAGGGAUCAUUACAGAGUCCAUGCCCUACCGGGUAGAUCUCCCACCCUAUGUUAUUAUUACUUUGUUGCUUUGGCGGGCCGUUAGGCUCCGGCCCGACUACCGGCCCCGGCUGGUAAGCGCCCGCCAGAGGACCCAAAACCCUGAAUAUUAGUGUCGUCCGAGUACUAUAUAAUAGUUAAAACUUUCAACAACGGAUCUCUUGGUUCUG